AUUUUUCCAGCCAAGAAAUGGGUUUUGAAAGCUUCAUAUUUUCAGCAACUUUGAGGCUUAGCAAAUCGUUGACUCUUACUAUUAGCACGGGGAUCGUCAGCACUUCGUCACACUAUCUACUAUUGUGGUUAUCAUGUGUUUUGGACUUAGCUUAUGGCAUGUAUAGGUUAGACUAUAAGUAGAAUGAUAUUUUGACUAUUGUAUAUAAGCCAUGCGAAUAUGGCAUCUUAUAGAAGUUUACUUUUAUAAGUUUUAAA